GAUAAAUGGAAAAUAAUCCAUACCUAGAGAAAUAAUAGUGAAACUGCAAUGAAUAAAAAGUAUCUUAAAAACUGCUCAGUGGAAAAAGGAUGGAUUACCUCAAAAGGCCUCUGUCUUCUUAACAGUAACAUUGGAAACAGAGCAAUAGAAAAAUAUCCUCAAAAUGUGGAAAGAAAAUAACUCUUAACUGAAGAUCCUCUACACAACAAAUACUCUUCAAAAAUGAUAGCAAAAUAAAGACAUUAAAAUAAAGAUGGAGAGAAUGUAACAGCAGCAUAACCACACUAAGGAAGGAAAACACAAAAAGAGUUUUUGGGCAGAAGGAAAAUAAGCCCUGCUGGAAGAUUAAAUUUUGGCAAGAAAAUAAAAAUUGUGAAUAUAUGUAUAGUAUAACUAAAUGAACACUUUCUGCAUAAAAUGAUUAUGAUACUGCAUUAUAUGGGAUUUCAGUAUGUAUGUAUGUUGGUGUUUAACAGAAAUGUAAUAAGACGGGGAUAGAUGUUCCAAAGUCCUUGCAUUAUCUCAGAAAAUGGUGAAGGUUAAUAUUAUACUUAGGACAUAGUUUUAAGUCCUUGUUGCCUUAGAUUAGGCAAUCAUUUCUUAGAUAUAACAUCUAAAGCAGGGAGUCCCUAACCUCUGGGCCACGGACCCAUACCAGUCCAAGGCCUGUUAGGAACCAGGCUGCACAGCAGGAGGUGAGUGGCUGUGAACAAAACUUCAUCUGUAUUUACAGCCACUCCCCAUGGCACCCAUUACUGCCUGAUCGCCGCUUCCUGUCAGAUCAGUGGUGGCAGCAGAUUCUCAUAGGAGUGUGAACCCUAUUGUGAACUAGCAUGUGAGGGAUUUAGGUUGCUUGCUGCUUAUGAGAAUCUAAUGCCUGAUGAUCUGUCACUGUUUCCCAUCACCCCCAGAUGGGGCUAUCUAGUUGCAGGAAAACAAGCUCAGGGCUUCCACUGAUUCCACAUUAUGGUGAGUUGAAUAAUUAUUUCAUGAUAUAUUAGAAUGUAAUAAUAGAAAUAAAGUACACAAUAAAUGUAAUUGCUUGCAUUAUCCAGAAACCAUGCCCUCGCUCCAACCCCCCAGUCUGAAAAAACUGUUUACCACAAAACCAGGCUCUGGCACCAAAAAGUUUGGGAACCACUAAUCUACAAAACACAAGCAAUUCCCCACCCUUCAAAAGGAAAAAUUUGACUUCACCAAAAUUUGAAACUUUUGUGCUUCAAAGGACACUAUCAAGAAAAUGAAAAAACAACCCACAGAAUGGGAGAAAAUAUUUUCAAAUCAUAUAUUUGCUAAGCCUUAAUGUCCAAAAUAAAGAACUCCUAUCAACAAUAAAAGGACAACCCACUUAAACAAUAGGCCAAGGACUUGAAUGCUUUGAUCUAAGGAAGAUAUACAGAAGGCAAAUAAGCACAUGAAAAGAUUCUGGAAUUAAAAAGUGAUCAUGGUUGCACAACGUUGUGAAUGUGAUAAACACCAGUCAGUUAUGCACUUUAAAGAAUACAUUUUGUAGUAUGUAAUUGUACCUCAAAAAAUAAAGUGACAAUCAUAUACACUCAAAGUAGCAAUGCAUAUUACAGUUAUUUAGCCUACAUUUUGACAAAUUCUGUGACAAGGUGGGAAAAAUAUAUAGUCAUUAGAGAUGGGUAUAGGUCUGGGUUCAAAUCCAGUCCACCCCUUAAUGGCUGUGUGUUCCUGGGAAAAUCUCACUGAAAUCAGUUUUCUCCUCUGCAUAAUGGAGAUAAUAGUUCACUUGAAGUUUGUGGUGAGGAUAGCUGUAAUGUGUAAAAAGAUACUUGUAAAGAUCCAGAACAGCUGGAUCCUUUGAAAUGACAAACCCAAACCAAAAAAUAUUUCAAAAAGACUGAUAUAAUAGCUGACAAUCUCUACAAUAAGCUCAUAAAAUAUUGAAUUUAUUUGUAAAUAUAUGGUAUUUGCAGAAAGAAAAGAAGUAGUGGUCUGAACAUGGGAGAUCUGGAGAUCCUUCAAAAGAAAACUGAAGAGGCUGACUUAGACUUAAGUUCUUCAGGAAGAGAGACUGCGCUACUCACCUUCUUAGCCCCAUUGCAUUUUACUUCACCUGAUAUAUGGACAUGUUUCAUACAUGUUAAUGAAAGAAGAAGAGUAAUAUUAUACCUUGGAAAGUUGAUUUCUAGGGUAGGUUUUUUGAAAAUUUUUCAGAUAGAGUAUAAAGAGGGUAAAACUUCCAAACUAAUGUGGGAGUGGAUAAUGCAAUAAUAAAAAGCAAUCUAAAAUAAUAAGUGAAAAAGAAAUGUAGCCAGUGAAGAGAAAUAAAAGUACAAUAAGAGGGUGGUAUUUAAGUUCAUACAGUAAUUACAUUAAAUUGCAUAUGAUCUGAAUUCCUAGUUAAAAGACAAAGAUUGUCAGACUAAAUAGAAAACCAACACAGGCUGUUUACAAGAGACACAUAUAAAACAAUUACUGUUAUAUUUUAAAUUACUUUGAUAAAAAUUAGCUACCAAAAAACUAGCUAUAGGUCAUAUAUCGAAUGGUGAAAGAUUGAAAACUUACCUUUGAGAUUGGGAACAAGGUAAGAUGUCCUAUUUAGUUCAAUAAGACAAACAAAGGAAUAAAAAGUAUAAUGAUGGAAUAAAUAAAACUCAUUUUUCAGUGAUGAUAUGAUUGUGUACACCUGAUAUAUGUACACAGAAAAUUCAGAUCUACAGAUGUACUAUUCCAAUUAACAUCAAUGGGUUACUGGAAAUAAUUUCUAAUAAUUUGAUAAGUAAUUUCUAUCAAAAAUAAAAAAAUUUAAAAGUUACUAUCUAAAAGCAUACAAGUAUCAAAUUUCUGAGCAAUAAAAGAUUUGUAAGACUUCUUUAGAUAAAACAAUAAGAUAUCAAUAAGAAUCAAAGAGAACCUAAUUAAACAUGUACAUGAUAAAAAUUGGUAGACUCAUUGUAAAGAUAGUCUUCCUUAAAUGUAUCUAUAAUCAGUGCCAAUGCAGUAAAAAUUCAAAGAUACAAAAUUCAAGGAUGAAUCUAAAUUUUAUAUAGAAAUGUAGCAUCGGCUAGGCGCUGUGGCUCACGCCUGUAAUCCCAGCACUUUGGGAGAUGAAGGGGGGAGGAUCACGAGGUCAGGAGUUCAAGACCAGCCUGGCCAACAGGUGAAACCCUGUCUCUACUAAAAGUACAAAAACUAGCCAGGCAUGGUGGUGCAUGCCUGUAAUCCCAGCUACUUGGGAGGCGGAGGCAGGAGAAUCACUUGAAACUGGGAGGCAGAGGUUGCAGUGAGCUGAGAUCACUCCAUUGCACUCCAGCCUGGGAGACAGAGCAAGACUCCAUCUCAGAAAAAAAAAAAAAAAAAAAAAAAAAAAAAAUAUAUAUAUAUAUAUAUAUAUAUAGACAUCAAGGUUAAGCCAGGACAAGAGCAAGAGCAAGGUGGGGAGAUUCACUCUGUUAUCCGGUCUUUUCAAUAGCAGUGAAGAUAAUGUGCAAGCCAGAUGUGAUGGCACAUGCCUGUAGUCCCAGCUACUUGGGUGGUGGUGUGAGACUGUAGUCCCCGCUACUUGGGAAACUGAAGCGGAAGGCUUGCUUGAGCCCAGGAGUUCAAGUCCAGCGUGGGCAACAUAGUAAGACCCUAACUCUUAAGAAAAGAAAAAGUGGAAAAACUACCUAUCAGGCUGGGCAUAGUGGCAUGCGUCUGUAGUCCCAACUACUCGGGAGGCUGAGGUCAGAAGAUCACUUCAGCCUAGGAGUUUGAGGCUGCAGUGACCCAUGAUCAUGCCACUGCACCACUCCAGCCUAGGCAACAGUAAGACCCUGUCUAAAACAAAACAAAACAAAACCAAACAACAACAACAAAAAAAAAAAACUAUCUAUCAGGUACUAUAAUAUGUUCACUACUUGGGUGAGGGGAUUAUUAGAAGCCUACCUCAGCAUCAUGCAAUAUACUCAUGUAACAAACCUGCACAUCUACCCCUGAAUCUGAAAAAAAAAAAAAAAAAAAAAAAAAAAAAAAAUUGAAGAAGAUAAUAUGCAGUUUGUGCAAGGGUAGAUAAGCAGACCAAAGGAAAAGAGUCAAGAGCCCAGAAAGAGAGCUGUGCAUAUAUGAACACUGAUUUAUAACAAGGGAAGUACUGCACAGCAGUGGAAAGAGGAUGAGCUUUUCAAUACAUGAUACAAUCUAUAUUGGAUCUCAUCACACCAUACAAAAAUCUGUUCCAGUUAGAUGGUAGCCCUAAGUACAAAAAGCAAAACAAUAAAGAUACUGGAGGAUGUCAUGGUCAUUAAUGUCGCCCACCAAAUAUUUCUAGUUCCUUUUCGGGUCCAUGCUAGGAUUAUAAUUCCCUACCCCUUGAAAUUGUGUAUAGCCACAUAACUUGCUUUGGCUAAUGUCAUGUGACUGGAAGUGAUAUGUGCUACCUGCGGAAUUUUUCAAAGCCAGUGAGUGAUCAUUCUGUUCUUUUUCCCACUGUAAUGACAAUUUGCGAUGUUCCAGUUGUCAGCCUAGGUCUCAGUUUGAGAACAAGCCAAUCUGGCUGGAUGAGCAAAAUAAACAUGAGCAAAAGUAAACCCAGUGUUUUAACGUGAUGAGAUUCUUGGAGUUGUUGAAACGUAACUUGGAUUAUGCAUAUUGAUAGAAAUUGCUAGGAGGAACAGGAUGCUUUUGUAGCAAAAAGUUAUUAAUAUAUGUAUUAAUGAUUUAAAAGUUGAUGGUAGGUGAUAAUGAAGGAUGAAAGGGAGAUCCAUGUUAUCCAGGAGCAAAGUAUUUGUUGAGCUGUUGUGUGCAGUAAAUUAUAAGAUAAUAACACACCGAAUGAAUUUGUGACUAUAAGGGAAAGAACUGGAAAACAGAAUGUGUUGCCUGGCAGUGUUUGCAUUACACAGGGUAUUACGUGGAAGAGAUAAACUCAUAUAUAUGUAAAUGGCCAUUUGGUAGCAGAAAUAAAAAAUAAUAUAGUCUAGAAAUUUGGGGGAUUUAAGAGUUGGAAAACACAACUGCUCUUAACCAUAACCACUAACAGAUAAACCUGAGAGAGCUUUGAGCAACAAAGAUUAAACUCAGCCUUGUGGCAAAGAUUAAAUGAGAUUAUGGUCUUGACACCAUAGUUAAAACCUCUGAAAAGCUUCUGUGAAAGUGUUUGUCUCAGAAUCAAGGUCCAACUAAGGGUGCGUAGCAGUACAUCCUUUCAAUUAGACAAAAUGGUUUAAGGAAAAGAGACUAAAAGUGUGACUGUCUCACUGAAGUCCUGAUAAAUUCAAUUUAUCUGAAAAUAAGUUGAAAGAGAGUCAUGGAAACUAGAAAGCAAUGAAUAGAGCAAAUCUAAGGAGAAUGUCUAGAAAGGAGCUGUUGAUGUAGCUUUUGAAACAUGGAACUGAUUGGACUCCAAUAUAUAAAAAGUGUAUGUUUUUAGGAGGGUUGUGUUGUUAAACCAUAAAUGUAGAUAUUAAAAGUCUGUGACUCUUUGGGACUUGAAAUGACUUUGUACUACCAGCCAUAUAUGGGAAAGAAGCUGAGAGAACUGCACAACUCUCAAGGAGGCAUAUUCUCAAAUGCCCACUCCAGAUGCAGACCAAGAGUAUAAUGGGAAGGGAAUAUAUUCCCAGAGCCUGGAGCCACAAGCUACUAAGAACAAUGGACAAAGGAGCUCUUCCCAAGGAGCAGAAUCUGGACCUAAUCGAGAAAUAUUACAUACCCACCUCUAGAGGGACUUCAGAGUAUCUUCCCAGCCACAUUUCAAAAUUGCUAUGAAUCAGUGACUGCUGUGUUUAAUUUUCUUUCUUUCUUUCUUUCUUUUUUUUUGAGACAGUCUUGCUCUUGCUCUGUUACACAGGCUGGAGUGCAGUGGCACAAUCUCAGCUCACUGCAACCUCCACCUCCCAGGUUCAAGUGAUUCUCCUGCCUCAGCCUCCCGAGUAGCUGGGAUUACACGUGCAUACCAUCACACCCAGCCAAUUUUUGUAUUUUUAGUAGAGACAGGAUUUCACCAAGUUGGCCAGGCUGGUCUCAAACUCCUGGCCUCAAGUGAUCAGCCCACCUUGGCCUCCCAAAGUGCUGGGAUUACAGGUGUAAGCUACCACACCCAGACUAAUUUUCUAAUUUUCCAAUUGGAAGUGUUUAUUGUUAUUAUCUAAUCCCUUUUCCCUUAUUAUAUAUUCACAUUUUGUUUUCUAUGUAAUUAAACUUUUUUACUAAAAUAAAUGUUUUUCUCUGCAACAAAUUUUUAAUAAAUAUGAUUUUUAAAAUGUAUAUUAAAUCACUUUGUAUUUCUUCUCUUAAAGUGUUCUAAGGAAAACUAAUCAUUAAAAUAAAAACUCCAGGGAUUACAGGCUUUAGUUAGAUAUAAAGAAGCAAAGGUCAAAGUUAAGUAAAAUAUUUUGUCUCAAAGGAAUAUAACAAUUGUA
rnacentral:lncRNA from 1 species